AACGCUGUCUGAGACAGCGUUUCUGUCGUUUUUUUUUUCCCUCCAACAGCGUAUUUCAUUUCAUUUCCUCCUCCUUCAUUCUCAAACCCCUUCUUUCCCAAACUCUAACUUAAUCCCCCUCUCUCUCAUACUUGUGCUCCUCCGUGUAGACCGCCGCCGGCGCCGCCACCUCCACCGUCGCCCGCCGUCACCUCCACCGUCGCCCUCCGUGUAGCCCACUAUACACUCCCCUCACCCUGAAAUAGAUAUCAUGGACGUACGGGAUAGGACACCCGGACCUGUUGACCCUUCUGUCCUGACACUACAGGACACCCAUCGGAGCGUCGACGUAUGGAACCUGACGGGUGACGUAGCGAAGCCACUACAGUGCAGGCACUACAGGACCCCUGGGUUGUCCAUGAUCGCUGCCUUGAGUACGUGACGUACGCUGGCUUUGGCGGUGUACAUCGCUUGGGAUUCAGGGAGAUCGACCGACACCUUGUCACGGCGUUAGUGGA